rnacentral:rRNA from 2 species
UAGUGAUUUGAUCCUGGCUCAGAGCGAACGCUGGCGGCAGGCUUAACACAUGCAAGUCGAACGCCCGUAGCAAUACGGGAGUGGCAGACGGGUGAGUAACGCGUGGGAACAUGCCCUUUGGUUCGGAAUAACUCAGGGAAACUUGAGCUAAUACCGGAUAAGCCCGAGAGGGGAAAGAUUUAUCGCCGAAGGAUUGGCCCGCGUCCGAUUAGCUAGUUGGUGAUGUAAUGGCUCACCAAGGCGACGAUCGGUAGCUGGUCUGAGAGGAUGAUCAGCCACACUGGGACUGAGACACGGCCCAGACUCCUACGGGGAGGCAGCAGUGGGGAAUAUUGCACAAUGGGCGAAAGCCUGAUGCAGCGACGCCGCGUGAGGGGAUGACGG